UCAGCAUUAAACCUUCUGUGGAUUAGGUUGCUGCUCGGCACAACUUUUCCUGUGUGGACAGUAAAUGUCAUUAACCACAUUUCAAUAAGCGGAUGAAUACGUGACAUGUUGUACAUACCAGCAGAUUUGACUGCUUAAGUGAAGAUGUUGGAAAUAUCAGCUCAGGAGUGGUUAUGCUGGAAGAAACUGCACCCUUUAACAGCCAAGGAAACAAUGAAGAAUAGGCUAGACAGGGCGGUUGGGGAUUCUAUUAUUGUGGCGGUAGGGGAUUCUUUUAUUAAAAGAAUUAUAAAACGUGAGUAAUCUGUUACCCUGAUUGCAUCAACUGGACAUAUUUUAUGGUUCAUAUUCAUAUUGGUAUUAGUGCCCUAAAGAAAGAGUUCAGAGAAUGAGGAAGCAAACUUAAGAAGAGGACCUCCAAGGAUGUAACUUCUGAGAUAUUAUUUGUGCCAAGUGCUACAGUGGAGAUUACGUUAGAGAUUAGUCUUGGUGUAGGAAGGAGGUUUUUUUGGUUUCUAGUGCAUUGGGACAAUUUUGUGCUUUAAUGUGAUCUUUAUAGCCAUGAUGGAUUGUACCUGAAUGGGAGAAGACUCUUGUGCUAGGGUAGAGGAUGGUAAGAAGGUUAGAGGAGGCUUUAAACUAGAUGUGCGGAGGGGGAGGGUGGGUGUGGAGACACAGAAAC